UGAGUUUGAUCCUGGCUCAGAUUGAACGCUGGCGGCAUGCCUAACACAUGCAAGUCGAACGGUAACAGGCCGCUGGGAUCCCUUCGGGGUGAACUUGGUGCUGACGAGUGGCGGACGGGGGAGUAAUGCUUAGGAAUCUACCCAGUAGAGGGGGACAACCCGGUGAAAACCGGGCUAAUACCGCGUACGCUCUACGGAGGAAAGCAGGGGAUCUUCGGACCUUGCGCUAUUGGAUGAGCCUAAGUCGGAUUAGCUUGUUGGUGGGGUAAAGGCCUACCAAGGCGACGAUCCGUAGCUGGUCUGAGAGGACGAUCAGCCACACUGGGACUGAGACACGGCCCCCACUCCUACGGGAGGCAGCAGCAGGGAAUCUUCCACAAUGGGCGAAAGCCUGAUGGAGCGACGCCGCGUGAGGGAUGAAGGCUUUAGGGUCGUAAACCUCUUUUCUCAGGGAAGAGCAAGGACGGUACCUGAGGAAUAAGUGACGGCUAACUACGUGCCAGCAGCCGCGGUAAUACGUAGGUCACAAACGUUGUCCGGAAUUAUUGGGCGUAAAGGGUCCGUAGGCGGUUCGGUAAGUCUCCUGUGAAAUCUUCAGGCUCAACUUGAAGAGGUCGGGGGAUACUGCUGGACUAGAGACAGACAGAGGCAAGUGGAAUUUCCGGUGUAGUGGUGAAAUGCGUAGAUAUCGGAAGGAACACCAGUGGCGAAAGCGGCUUGCUGGGUCUGUUCUGACGCUGAGGGACGAAAGCGUGGGUAGCAAACCGGAUUAGAUACCCGGGUAGUCCACGCCGUAAACGAUGAAUGCUAGGUUUUCGGGGUAUCGACCCCCUGUGAGCCGCAGCUAACGCGAUAAGCAUUCCGCCUGGGGACUACGGUCGCAAGACUAAAACUCAAAGGAAUUGACGGGGGCCCGCACAAGCAGCGGAGCGUGUGGUUUAAUUCGAUGCAAAGCGAAGAACCUUACCUAGGCUUGACAUGCAUCUGAAAGCCCCCGAAACGGGGCCCUCCUUCGGGACAGAUUCACAGAUGUUGCAUGGCUGUCGUCAGCUCGUGUCGUGAGAUGUUGGGUUAAGUCCCGCAACGAGCGCAACCCCUGUCGUUAGUUAUUAUGUCUAGCGAGACUGCCCCCACUGGGGGAGGAAGGUGGGGACGAGGUCAAGUCGUCAUGGCUCUUACGCCUGGGGCUACACACACGCUACAAUGGUCGGAAACAAUGGGCUGCCACACCGCGAGGUGGAGCGAAUCCUCAAAGCCGAUCUCAGUUGGAAUUGCAGGCUGCAACUCGCCUGCAUGAACGUGGAGUUGCUAGUAACCGUAGGUCAGCACACUACGGUGAAUACGUUCUCGGGUCUUGUACACACCGCCCGUCAAGUCAUGGAAGUCGGUAACACCUGAAGUCGUUGGGCCAACCCUUUUGGGAGGCAGACGCCGAGAGUGGGACUGGUGACUGGGACUAAGUCGUAACAAGGUAACC
rnacentral:rRNA from 1 species